CGAGUCGACAUGGAGGGAGGCUCAAAGAUUUUGCUACGUAUUCGGCUCCAACCUGGCCAGUUUACAUUCAGAAGAAGAGAUCGCUUUUUUAAACACCAAGCUGUUCGGAAAGUUUAAGACCCUGUGGAUAGGUUUUUAUACGCCGUUUCAUGACGACAAUUGGAAGUGGUUCGACGGUACAGACGCCAAAUUUACGAGCUGGGUCGCUGGUCAGCCCAAAGUCUACACAGAAGACUGUGCUGCUACUUAUGUAACUACAGGU